rnacentral:rRNA from 1 species
UAGUCCACGCCGUAAACGAUGUCAACUAGCUGUUGGGGAACUAUGUUCUUCAGUGGCGCAGCUAACGUAGUAAGUUGACCGCCUGGGGAGUACGGCCGCAGGGCUAAAACUCAAAUGAAUUGACGGGGACCCGCACAAGCGGUGGAGCAUGUGGUUUAAUUCGAUGCAACGCGAAAAACCUUACCUAUACUUGACAUACUUGGAAUGCUUUGUAAUGAAGCAGUGCCUUCGGGAGCCAAGAUACAGGUGCUGCAUGGCUGUCGUCAGCUCGUGUCGUGAGAUGUUCGGUUAAGUCCGGUAACGAGCGCAACCCUUAUUAAUAGUCGCCAUCAUUCAGUUGGGCACUCUAUUGAGACUGCCGGUGACAAGCCGGAGGAAGGCGGGGGACGAC